GGUGUGCGAGGCCGAGGUCCGCGCCUAUAAAUGGCCGCUGCGCUCUGGCCCGGGCAACACUGAGACUCCGACUCUGGAAAACAACAAAACUUAAAAGACGAACACAGAUGGAAGUUUGGGAGCCUGGUAUGCGGUAAGCACUCCGCAGGUGUCAGCCGCCAGCCCGCAGUCCCGGACAGGUCAGGGGAAGGCCCGCGGUAUGCAGCAGGCUGCCGGCUUCAGUCACUGCCUGGUGGAAAACAAGCCUGUCUUUGGGGCCAGCCAGCUAACAAGUGAGCCCUUCACCCCAUCUGAAGGCGAAGCACCCAAAGGGGCAACCGUGGACGGCUAAAUAAAAAUCAAGACUCCUGGGACGCCUUCUCGGGACACAUUCUUAAAGAGAUACGUGCCUGAGGACGUUGUGUGUAUUUCUGUGUAACAGGCCACCCCAAACCUCAGAGGGCGAAAACCUCUCUUCACUGCUCAUGACUCUGUGGGCCUGCAGCUUAAGCCGGUUCAGCUGGGACGGCUUGCCUCGGCUCCAUGGGGUGUCUGCUGGGCCCACUUACAGGCAGGCGCCCCGGGCAGAUCCGGGCCACAUGUCACCCACCCACCGCAGGCUGGCCGGGCCUCCCUCCCGUGGUGGCUGGGCUCCGUCGGCAGCAAGAAAAAGCAAAUCCCCAUGGUGCUUCCCUCCAUCUCCCCAGGAGGGUGAGAUGGCCGGGGCCUGAGUGGACGUGAGGCACCGCACAGGGGACGGGCACGGCAAGCAUGGUUCAUCGGGGCUGUCACUGCAGAAGUCUUCCACAGGCCUUCGCUGAGGUGCGGGUUGGUGUGGGGAAUACAAGGGAACUCCCCAGAAUGGAGGCUGCUUGUGCAAGUUUCAACUUGUCCUUUUUCUCCCUCCAGAGCAGCAGAGAGCGGAUGGCGCCCAAGGCCGGGACCCUCUGCUGCUCCCACAGGCCUCUCAGGCGGCUCUGCAGGACCAGCCAGCAGCCUCUGAUGCUCCCUUCCUAUUCCAUGGCUUCAGGUGCCAUCCUCUCCACAGAGACGGUUUCUAUUGUGACGCUCUCCCUGACUUGGAAGAAUGGCACUGGGAACAUUCCCCUUGGUGCUGAUGUCGGGGAGGAAAGCAGUUUCCAGUCGCCUGGGGCCAGGACAUGGCGUUCCCAGCUGUUGUAGAGCAUGAAGCACCAGGAUGCCCAUUCGGGUGCCUGCUGAGAUCAGGCUCUUUGAGAAGGAAUCCUGUGGUCGCCUGAGGAAGUCCAAAAAAAUUUCGAGGACAUCUCAGCCAUCCAUCCCCUGUUCACUGUGGAGGUUGAACACCGGGGCUCCUGGAGGGGGGCCCUGGGUCUCCACAGAAGUGCUGGCAGCCACCAUCCACUUCCUGGCCUUCCGUGCCCGCUCCACCUCUGUUCUGUUGUUUACUGUCUCCUUUGUGGGAAUUAUGGAAUAAACAAUCACUCUGGUGUCCUGGAAAAUAAACCUGAUGCUGGAGGGCUUGAGUGUAGGAAUCCAGCUGGGCUCCCACUGUCUGCCCCAGGGUGCGGAGUUAGGCUUUGCAUAAGCAUGUGAGAUGCCAACCGCUAUGAAAUGUGGUCUACACAGCACCAAAAAUCCAUUUCCCACGUUUUCCCUUCAGUGCAGUUAAAUGGCAUGACCCUGUGACUGUCUCCCACGAGAAGAACUAAAAAUUACGCUGGUCCUGCCAAUGCCUACAGGAUACGGUGGCACAAAAUGAUUUCCACGGUCUUAGGAUAUAGACCCAGGCCGACUCGAGAGAUUAAGUGGAUUUCAAACUGUGGUCUUGAGCCUUCUGGGAACUGCCCGAAAGGAGGGGAAGGCGCCAGCCUCGGAGUGGUCCAGCUGCCCGGCCUGUUCACACACUGGCCUUUCAGUUGAAGACAGUGUUCAAAGCUUACCCGUGUAAAUGCCACUGAUCUGUGAACCCCCUUCCUGUCAUGCCCAGGGCCUGGCAGACUGUGGCUAGAACGGUGGGAUCAGAGCAGUGGGUCACGUGACCUGCGCACGGGUGUGCUGGCCUCCCUGGGCCGCGGUGGCCAGGACAGCCUUCCUUUCCCUUUCCAGCCACACAGGGCAAUCCGUGUGCUCAGAUUUCUGUCUCAUCAAUUACAGAGCGAGCUGCCAACCUGCUGUGCUGAGACUGUGGCCUGGUCUUGGUCCUGGUGUCCUAGGGCUGAUGACUGACCACAGCCUUUGUGCUUUUGAAGCCUAUUUGACUAUAGUCCUUGUGUGCAACUAAAAAUGUAGCUUUAAA